AUUGGACGCUGGCGGCAGGCCUAACACAUGCAAGUCGAGCGGAUGAAGGGAGCUUGCUCCUGGAUUCAGCGGCGGACGGGUGAGUAAUGCCUAGGAAUCUGCCUGGUAGUGGGGGAUAACGUCCGGAAACGGGCGCUAAUACCGCAUACGUCCUGAGGGAGAAAGUGGGGGAUCUUCGGACCUCACGCUAUCAGAUGAGCCUAGAUCGGAUUAGCUAGUUGGUGGGGUAAAGGCCUACCAAGGCGACGAUCCGUAACUGGUCUGAGAGGAUGAUCAGUCACACUGGAACUGAGACACGGUCCAGACUCCUACGGGAGGCAGCAGUGGGGAAUAUUGGACAAUGGGCGAAAGCCUGAUCCAGCCAUGCCGCGUGUGUGAAGAAGGUCUUCGGAUUGUAAAGCACUUUAAGUUGGGAGGAAGGGCAGUAAGUUAAUACCUUGCUGUUUUGACGUUACCAACAGAAUAAGCACCGGCUAACUUCGUG
rnacentral:rRNA from 1 species